rnacentral:tRNA from 3 species
GGAGAGAUGUCUGAGUGGUCGAAGGAGCACGCCUGGAAAGCGUGUGUAGGGGCAACUCUACCGCGGGUUCGAAUCCCGCUCUCUCCGCCA